rnacentral:rRNA from 1 species
CACAUGGGUACCCACCCCCCAGUGAGGGAUACCGGCGAGAAAUCGCCGACAAUACCGCAUAGGCUUCUCCUUGGAGACAAGGGGAAGCAAAGUGGCGCAAGUCACGCUGAGGGAUGGGCCUGUGGCCGAUUAGCUAGUUGGGGGGGUAAUGGCUUCCCAAGGCUGCGAUGCCUACCGGGCGUGCGAGCGUGGCCCGGCACACUGGGACUGAGACACUGCCCAG